rnacentral:sRNA from 1 species
UAAUUUAAGAUUUAUAUAUGUAUAUAUAUAUAUAUAUCAAUAUAUACACAAUAAAUAUUUUUGUAUAUAUCUUUCAUGAAGAUUUUUGGGUGUAUAUUUAUAUGUAACAAAGAUUUUUUUUUGUUUAUAUUGUAUAUACACAAAAAGAUUUUUAACUUUUGUUAUUUCGGGUAACUUGUAUAUAUAAAUUAUUGUUUGCUAUUACAACAUAAUCAUGUCGUGUCUCAAUGGUUGCAAGUCUGUUAUAUCCUUUAAUUGGUCACGUGUUCGAUCCCAAAAGUGCUCAGUUUUCUUUUUUUUUAGUGAAUUUAAAACGACGUCGUUUGGUUCAACGAAGCCUGUUAACGGAAAGUGAACUCUGUUAUCGUUCUGUUAACGGAAAAUUAACGUCAUGCCCGAAAUGGCCUAGUCAACGAAAGUUGGUCAUUUAUCAAAAAGUCAAAGCAAAGUUUAGGAUUUUUAUGGUAUUUUGAAAGUUUAUGCCUUUUUCAUCCCAAAUUUGAAAGUUCAAACUUUUUUCGACAUUUUUCCCAUUUAUUUUUACUGUUGUAUUGUUUCUUUUACCACUAAAAUUAUUGAUUAAA